GGAAAAGUUCAAAAUAAAUCUCUUUACAAGUUCAAAAUAAAACCUUGUCCCUCAAGCUGUUGAAUUUACCCCAGUUUCUCCUAAAAGGCAGAGAGGUGUUUGAGACAUGAGCAAAAAACAAUUCCUGGUGUUAAUGGUGAAUUCCUCCCUUCAUUUUUGCAGGUAGCAGCGGAAAUGAAAGCAACUCUAUUUGGCCACACAGGCUCCACAAAUGAGUAACUUCAGUGGGAAUUGCUCAUGAAAAAGAGAAAGGAUCACCUGGAUUCUUCUGGAGCUGGGAGUCAGGGCCAGAAACCUGCAGGAAGGACCUGCCCAAGGAAGAAGAAGAGGAUUUCACUUCUCCAGAGCUCCAUCCCACCUGGAGCUCCAGACGAGUGCUGGUGGCAGACUGAGGGAGAAGGAAUAACCCCAGCACUGUGGAACACAGGGGUCUGCCAGUGCUGGUGA
rnacentral:lncRNA from 1 species